rnacentral:rRNA from 1 species
AGUGGCGGACGGGUGAGUAACGCGUGAGAAUCUACCUUCAGGUUGGGGAUAACAGGGGGAAACUGCUGCUAAUACCCAAUGUGCCGAGAGGUGAAAGGCUAGCUGCCUGAAGAAGAGCUCGCGUCUGAUUAGCUAGUUGGAGUGGUAACGGCACACCAAGGCGACGAUCAGUAGCUGGUCUGAGAGGAUGAUCAGCCACACUGGGACUGUGACACGGCCCAGACUCCUACGGGAGGCAGCAGUGGGGAAUUUUCCGCAAUGGGCGAAAGCCUGACGGAGCAAUACCGCGUGAGGGACGAAAGCUUUUGGGUUGUAAACCUCUUUUCUCAGGGAAGAACACUGACGGUACCUGAGGAAUCAGCAUCGGCUAACUCCGUGCCAGCAGCCGCGGUAAGACGGAGGAUGCAAGCGUUAUCCGGAAUGAUUGGGCGUAAAGCGUCCGCAGGUGGCCAUUCAAGUCCGCUGUUAAAACGUGAGGCUUAACCUCAUAUCGGCAGUAGAAACUGAAUAGCUAGAGGAUGGUAGGGGUAGAGGGAAUUCCCAGUGUAGCGGUGAAAUGCGUAGAUAUUGGGAAGAACACCAGUGGCGAAAGCGCUCUACUGGGCCAUACCUGACACUGAGGGACGAAAGCUAGGGGAGCGAAAGGGAUUAGAUACCCCUGUAGUCCUAGCCGUAAACGAUGGCGACUAGGUGUUG